GACAGAGGGGGCAAGCGUUGCUCGGAAUUACUGGGCGUAAAGCGCACGCAGGCGGUCUGUGAAGUUUGGAGUGACAGUUGGUGGCUCAACCACCAAAGUGCUUUGAAAACUGAUAGACUUGAGGGCUUCAGAGGGACACGGAAUUCCGGGUGGAGUGGUGAAAUGCGUAGAGAUCCGGAGGAACACCAAAGGCGAAGGCAGUGUCCUGGGGAGUACCUGACGCUCAGGUGCGAAAGCCAGGGGAGCGAACGGG
rnacentral:rRNA from 1 species